rnacentral:siRNA from 1 species
CAGCCAUGUGGUGAGCACA